rnacentral:rRNA from 1 species
GACGAACGCUGGCGGCGUGCUUAACACAUGCAAGUCGAACGAAGAGCGACGGAAGCUUGCUUCUAUCAAUCUUAGUGGCGCACGGGUGAGUAACGCGUAAUCAACCUGCCCUUCAGAGGGGGACAACAGUUGGAAACGACUGCUAAUACCGCAUACGAUCUAACCUCGGCAUCGAGGAUAGAUGAAAGGUGGCCUCUACAUGUAAGCUAUCACUGAAGGAGGGGACUGCGUCUGAUUAGCUAGUUGGAGGGGUAACGGCCCACCAAGGCGAGGAUCAGUAGCCGGUCUGAGGGGAUGAACGGCCACAUUGGGACUGAGACACGGCCCAGACUCCUACGGGAGGCAGCAGUGGGGAAUCUUCCGCAAUGGACGAAAGUCUGACGGAGCAACGCCGCGUGAGUGAUGACGGCCUUCGGGUUGUAAAGACCUGUUAAUCGGGACGAAAGGCCUUCUUGCGAAUAGUGAGAAGGAUUGACGGUACCGGAAGAGAAAGCCACGGCUAACUACGUG